AUUGAACGCUGGCGGCAGGCUUAACUCAUGCAAGUCGAGCGGGGUGAUGGUGCUUGCACUAUCACUUAGCGGCGGACGGGUGAGUAAUGCUUAGGAAUCUGCCUAUUAGUGGGGGACAACACCUCGAAAGGGAUGCUAAUACCGCAUACGUCCUACGGGAGAAAGCAGGGGAUCAAGUGUGACCUUGCGCUAAUAGAUGAGCUUAAGUCGGAUUUGCCAGUUGGGGGGGUAAAGGCCUACCAAGACGACGAUCUGUAGCGGGUCUGAGAGGAUGAUCCGCCACACUGGGACUGAGACACGGCCCAGACUCCUACGGGAGGCAGCAGUGGGGAAUAUUGGACAAUGGGGGGAACCCUGAUCCAGCCAUGCCGCGUGUGUGAAGAAGGCCUUAUGGUUGUAAAGCACUUUAAGCGAGGAGGAGGCUCUUUUGGUUAAUACCCAAGAUGAGUGGACGUUACUCGCAGAAUAAGCACCGGCUAACUCUGUGCCAGCCGCCGCCGUAA
rnacentral:rRNA from 1 species